AUUUCUAAUUGCAGUAAAGGAAGUGAGGAUGGAGAAUCAACCUGCCUGAGGAGGGAGGAGCCGAUUUGGUCCCAGGAGAAGGGGGAGAGGUAAGGGAAGCAGGCUGCAAUAUUAAGAUAGCACCAAAGCCCAGCCAUGAGAAGGAAACAUGUGCUUCCCCCCACUCCUUUCCUCCCCAUCUGCUAGGCUGAUGGUCACCAGAUAAUAGUCUGAAGUCCUAGCUUAGAGGAAAAGGUGGGAGAAAAAAUUUACAGAGCUGCCUGGGUUUCCCCAAAACCAUUCCCGAAGAGGAAAGAUGGCGGAAGACUAUCCCAAGAGGUAGCUGCCCCCCUAUCUACAGGAGAGCAGGCUUGGAGCCCCAUUGCAGACAUUCCCAACUGAUGCAUCAUAGCAGCCUUCAGAGGCACAAGUUCAUGAGAACAAGUUGGCAUGAUUAUAAAUGAUUAUAAUGAACAUCUUUGCCUUAUAAAGUAUAUUAAUGGAAAUGCUCUUUAAAUUUUAUCACACAGUAUGAAUGCUUGUCUUUCUGGCUUAAGAGCAAAGAUUUUUCAGUUCCUAUUGAUGGAUUAGGGAGUGAUUUCACAGCUAUUUCCAAUGAACAGGAAUGCUGAUAUCAUCUCUCAGAUAGGCCUGGGACAUCUUCUUUAACCUGUAGGUCCAAAGGCUCAGGCUGUGUACUCCAUCCUUCGCCCGGGUGUCAGUCAUCUUCAGAUACAGCAGUCCCAUCCUGUCCCCACUUUUACCGGUCACUGGCCCUCACCUUCACCUGUGUGUACAUGCAAUUCCCUCGCAUCCAUGUGGUUUUGUGACUCUGCCUUACACCUGCUGCCCUACCACCCGCCAACCCCCGAAAACUCUUGCUUCUCUUUCUGCCUGGUUGAAUUCCAAUUUGUUGCUCAAGGCUCAUAACGCAGGACCAACUCCUUAAGGAACUCCUCCUCCUCAUCCCCACACUGAGCAGAUGGCUGCUGCCUACCGGCAGUACUGUACCUUGAUCUACAACUCCUCCUUUCAGUACUCACCACACUUGGCUGGAAACCUUUCCAAGAGAAGAAACCUGCCAGAGGAGGCCAGAUUGGAACUAAUGACUGAAGGGGGCUAAGGUUAUGAAGCAUGUGACAGUUGAUUUCAUGUGCCAACUUAACCAAGCUAUGGCACCCAGCUCCAGUCUAGAUGUUGCUGUGAAGGCAUUUUUUAAAUGUAUUUAGUAUUUAAACCAGGAAACCUGGAGUAAAGCAGAUUACUCUCCAUCAUGCAGUUAGGCCUCAUUCAAUCAGCUGAAGGCAUUAAGAGCAAAGACUGAGGAGCUUCACAGGAGAAGGAAUUCUCCUCAAAACUGCAAUGUUUCCAGUAGUAGAAACCUUACUACAGGGGCACCUGGGUGGCUCAGUAUGUUAAGCGUCUGCCUUCAGCUCAGGUCGUGAUCCCAGGGUCCUGGGAUUGAGCUCCGCAUCGGGCUCCCUUCUCAGCAAGGAGUCUGCUUUCUCUCCCUCUGCCCCUUCCCCUAGAGUGAUGCUCAGUCACUUUCUCACUCGCUGUCUCGCUCUCAAAUAAGUAAAUAAAAUAUUGAGAGGAAGAAAGGAAGGGAGAAACCCUGCUGCCCUCUGUAACUUGGACUUAAGAUUUAACACCAACUCUUGCCUGAUUUGCCAGGUUACUCAACAAAUUUUAAACUUGUUAGCCCCCAGGUCAUGAUCCCAUGAGAUAGUUCCUUAAAUAAAUGUAUGUGUCCCGCUUGUUCUGUCUCUUUGGGAACACUGACGCAUUCAAGGCAGAAAAGAGAAGGAAGAAUGUUCCAGAAAGCACGAGCAAAAUACUAGCCUUCUCAUGUGUUCACAUGUGGCUGGCUCAUGGGAUGUGCCGAAUAAUAAAAGAAACCCCAUGUGGACUGGGGUUUUGGGGCCAGGCUUUCAAUGGAGUCAUCACGGACACAGAUGCACAGUUAGAACAUGAUCCAUUCUGGGUUUUAGAAAGGUAAGCACUAUGGUUGCAGAGACGGGAUGAAGGCAAAAUGACUCUAGAUGGACAUUUCAGUCCGUGGGCCGCUGCAGAAGUUUGAGGGAAGUAUAAGCAAGCAUACAGGGAGAGGGAAACACAGGAGAGGACACACUGAGAUGCAGAGGCAGAGCCAAGGGACACCAAAUGAUGGCUGGCUUGCUACAUGGUAGCAUCUGGAAAUCAGCCUGUGUUUAUUCAUCAGGGCACCCCAGGGCCCAGCACCCCUGAGACACAGCCUUCCAUAAUGUUUGUCAAGUGAGGAACAAAGGGAGGUGUAUACUGAAGAGAGUUGACAAGGAUGAAAGACAGCCUGAUGCUGCUCUCCAAAUGGCCGUGGUUUUCCUUUCUGCAGCCGUUUCAAGCUCUACUUCUUGUUGCUCAUCUUCAAACCCUGUGUGGUCUAAAAAUAAUCAGGAACAGUGGAGAUUUAGCUCCCCACAAAACUCAUUCUCCCUCGAGAUUUUCCUCCAAUUUCACGGCACAUCCAGUCUCUUCCCUUUUCCGUCCUCGGGUUUUCCUUUGUGUCAUGUUGAGCCAUGAGUGCAUGAGACAUGAUGGAUGGGCGUCGGGCCAUGGCGACCAGUGAGGAGAUCUAGCCCAGGGAAGUAAAAUCAAGGUUGGUUUGAAAAAUUAUUAAGUUACCAAACUUAGGGGGGGAAUAUAUAUGUAGAUAAGACCUACAUACCCAAGUGGGGAGAGGCAGAAAAUAGAGAAGGUGUUAAGAAUCUCGGGGGGUAUUUUGCAGUCAUCUGACAAAAUCAUCUGAACAAAGUUGGGAGUUUCACCAACCGGUUCUAAGAAAAGCCAAAUUGCACAUUUUAUCACCUUCAUCACCUUGACAACACAGCCUCUUUCUUAUGAUAAUAAUAUCAUACCAAGAAAAGCCUUUGGAGUGAGGGAAAUAUUAAUUAUAAGUGGAGUAGUAGAAGCUAAGCUAGCUCUGUCUAGGGAAAUUGGGGUGAGGUAUCUUCAAGGAGUUCGUAGCACUAACACAGAAGGAGAUAAGGAGGGAAAAUUGAAGUUAUGUGAAAAAAAGAUAAAAUGCAAAGGACGGAUGGGUUUAUUCACAACUGGUGUCGCUCAGUCAAAUGAUGUGCAGCCAUGAUUUGGGUUCCAUUAGCCUCACCUGCUGGAAGGGACUUUGAACUGAAAAAUAGAUGAGUUAGAGUUGGAGACUGGAGCUCUUAGAACCAGCAGCCCCACCUUCAGCUAACACCUCCACUGGCUGGGAGGGGGGAUGGAGAGGGAUAUAGGAGUCGAACGAGCAUCAAAAACAAGAGGUGGAUAUACAGAUUUUCAACUUACUUACAGGAGGUCACUGUUCUUGAAGAGCCAUCUCCCAUAAAGCCCUCUAAGGUGGAUUUUGUACAAUUAUUUUCUCUUCAUGGGCCAAGGUAUCAGUAAAAUAUUGCCAUUAGGAAAAUACAUUUUAUUGUGAGUUAUCUACAGGGCAUUCCUUCAGGACAAUUGUCUUCUUAAAUUGUAGUCUUCCAUUGGGAAAAUCUACAUUUUUUUUUAAAGAUUUUAUUUAUUUGAUAGAGAGAGAUCACAGCAGACAGAGAGGCAGGCAGAGAGAGAGAGAAGCAGGCUUCCUGCUGAGCAGAGAGCCCGACGCGGGACUCGAUCCCAGGACCCUGAGAUCAUGACCUGAGCUGAAGGCAGCGGCUUAAUCCACUGAGCCACCCAGGCGCCCCGGGAAAAUCUACAUUUUAAGUAUCAACUUUAAAAUUCGACAUAAAAUCCAGGGCAGAGCAAGCACAUGACUGAUCCUCUCUUUACCUGUGGCAGAAACAACAGCUUAAUGGCUCCAGUUUUCCUGAAUCACAUUUUUUUCUUUCUUGGUUCAAGUUAAUCAGCCCCGCCAUCCAUCAUAAAAUGCCUUCUAGCUCUGGACACCCAUCAGAGCAGAAGCGUUCAUGCAUGCAGGGGAAGUUGUCAUUGUUGCUCCGGGAAAUGACUCCGUGUGUCUGUCUUCAAAACAAUGGUCAGACAGACCAUGGGAUGGAGGAGCGGGCACAGUGGGCUUGUAGUUGAGCUCAGCCAGGAUGAGUGCUAACUAGGAGAUCUUAGAAUAGUUCCCGAGACUCUGCCUCUCCACAGCCUCCUCAUCUAUAAAAUGCAUCUUAUCAUACCUUCUGCAGAGGUCUGUGGGGAUUAUGCAUCACCGUGUAUGAAAUGCCUGGGACGUGGGAGGCCCUCUGGAAAUAUCCAUACCUUAGGCUUCUGGAGAGUGAUGAAACCCUCCCUUGUUUGCUCUUCCAGGCCCCAUCCUCUAGGAUCUGGCCUUCUGAAGUGAGCUUUUAGGACAUGUUUUCACUAACCCCUUUAGCUCUCUCCUAUAAACUGCAAAGGUAUGAAAACAAGAGAUGUAGUCGGGAUGUAAGGAAAUAGCCAGUGGUCAGGAACAUCUUGGGCUCUAGACCUGUUUCUCUACUAAGCAGCCAGAUGCAGUUAGACUAGUCCCUAACCUCCCUGUACAGACAAGAGUUUUCUUCUUUGUAAAAUGAAAAUAUUGCUCUAAAUUAUUCUUAAGAAUAAGUAUCAUGAUUCUAGGCAAUUUUGAUUCAAAAUAUGAGACUCUGCAAACCAUCUCUAAAAAAUGUCACUCAGCAGAGGCACCUGGGUGGCUCUGUCUGUUGAGUGUCGAACUCUUGGUUUCAACUCAGGUUGUGAUCUCCUGGGUCAUGAGAUCGAGCCCCUGCUUCGGCUCUGCACUUAGAAGGAAGUCUGCUUGAGGAUUCUCUCCCUCUGCUUCCUCCCACUCAUUCAUGCUCUCUCUCUCUCUCUCUCUCUCUCUCUCUUUCUCUCGUAAAUAAAUAAAUCUUUUUAAUAAUAUAUCACUUGGAAUCCCUGAGUGACUCAGUCAUUUAAGCAUCUGUCUUUGGCUCAGGUCAUGAUCCCAGGGUUUUGGGAUUGUGUCCCACACCGGGGGCACAGGAGGUCCUUGCUCAGCAGGGAGUCUGUUUCCCCCUCUGCCUGCUCUCCUCCUGCUUGUAAGCUUUUUCUCGCUCUCUCAGAUAAUAAAUAAAAUUUUAAAAAUAUAUAUCACUCAGUCUUUUAGUGUGUACGUGUCCAGUAUGUUGGAUGAUGGUGACGAUACUGAUGGUAAACAGGUUUCUCCCAUUUUGUCAGUUUCUUGUUUGGUGCUUAUUGAAUACCCAGAGAAAUCUUGUCAUGGUACCAAGCAAACACACCUCCUUUUUUUUUUUUUUUCCUUUUAUAAAAUUUCUGUUUCUAGCUUAGCUUCCUAAUGGUUCUUUAUUAACAAAAUGAGUCUUCGAAGUUGCAAUCAUGCAAUAAUUGACAGUCAAGCAGAAUGAUAAGAAAUGGCACAUGAGAUGACAAAUGAGAUGACAUUCGGUCCCAGCUCAGAGGCACCACUGAACCUUUUGCAUGUCGUCAGCGUCCUUCAACGAAAACGUGCAAGACCUCCUCCUGCUUCAUUUUCACAUCUGCUGGUUUUAUUUUUUGAAGUCGCCGAACCUUUAUUUGAUCUUCCCACUCUUCUCUGAACUUGGAUCAAACAUGUCCACAUUUGGGCCAACCACCUUCUCAGGGACUAGAAGGCUUGAAAGUAAACUUUCCAGCUUAUCUAAAUGGAUCAAGGAAACAGAAUAUUUCAAUAGAUGUUCAUUUGCUUUCUUAUUUGCUACCAGAAAAUUCAUGGCUGUUACAAGAAAUAUUUAUUUAUAGGAAGUUUGUUUUAUGUGACUUCCCCCCCUUCCCUGUCUAUUAAAUCAAAUGGAUGUAAUUCAUCGUGUGACUCCUCAGAACCUGCCCCGCUGUGCACAGCGGAUCGGCAAGCAUGCGACGCGGGAGAGCAGCGGGGCCAUGGUUUGGAAGUGCUCUACUCAUCACAAAUAUGUGGCUUCAAUAUUUAGUUGUUGUGGCAGAAAAACGGCAACAAAUACAUGAACUGUAAACCAUCUGCCUUGAAAUAUGUUCAAAGAUGAAUGUUCAUCUUGAAAAAUGAAAUCUAUGGAAUUCUGGCAUCCACUUUGACUUUUGAGAGAUGAACAGCUUGAAUAUGCAAAGAACGAAUUUCUAGACUAGCCUUCUUAAACUUUUAAAUUUUCGUGAACUCCGAAGUUAAAUGAUUCAUGGUCGGGACUGGAAAACUUCCUUCUUGCUUUUCAACUCUAAGGAAAAACCCUGACUGCUUGAAAAUCCUGGGACUGAAACCGUAGAGGGGUUUGUACAGAAGUCGCUUCCAUGUUAAGAAAUAGAGACAUGAAUGUGACUCCGUGUUUAUGUAACAUCUACUCUGUGCCGGUGUAUGCUGGACACAUGUGUAAAAAGCAUGAGAAUUCUGGCUUUCACUCGAUUCCUAAAACAGAACACUUAAACCGGCAGAACUAGAGACUUUGAACUGUGUCUCUUAGUUUGGGGUGAGAAAUGAGUCAUUCCCUCUGCUCUCUUUUGAACCACAAUCCAAAGGCGAUACAGCAUCCGUGCCCUGGGAGAAGGAGCUCUCCAAAUGGCUCUGAGAGGGGUUUCAGGCAACUUGAUAAAUAUAAAGAAGAAAGGUGUCAUAAAUGCAUGUGAGCAGUGAGGAAGACGUAGUCAGGAGAACAGGAAUCAAGCAAAGCACGGACGCCUUCUGGGCUUAGCAGACCAGACCAGAAGUGACCAC